AGCAGUAGCCGCGGGAAUACGGAGGGAGCUAGCGUUAUUCGGAAUUACUGGGCGUAAAGCGCACGUAGGCGGCUUUGUAAGUUAGAGGUGAAAGCCUGGAGCUCAACUCCAGAAUUGCCUUUAAGACUGCAUCGCUUGAAUCCAGGAGAGGUGAGUGGAAUUCCGAGCGUAGAGGUGAAAUUCGUAGAUAUUCGGAAGAACACCAGUGGCGAAGGCGGCUCACUGGACUGGUAUUGACGCUGAGGUGCGAAAGCGUGGGGAGCAAACAGGAUUAGAUACCCCCGUAGUCCCUGUCUCUUAUAC
rnacentral:rRNA from 1 species